rnacentral:rRNA from 1 species
UACGUAGGGGGCUAGCGUUGUCCGGAUUUAUUGGGCGUAAAGAGCGUGUAGGCGGCCAGGUAGGUCUGCUGUGAAAACUCGAGGCUCAACCUCGAGCUGUCGGCGGAAACCAUCUGGCUAGAGUCCGGAAGAGGAGAAUGGAAUUCCCGGUGUAGCGGUGAAAUGCGCAGAUAUCGGGAAGAACACCCGUGGCGAAGGCGGUUCUCUGGGCCUGUACUGACGCUGAGGAACGAAAGCGUGGGGAGCGAACAGG